ACGCUGGCGGCAGGCCUAACACAUGCAAGUCGAGCGGUAGCACAGGAGAGCUUGCUCUCUGGGUGACGAGCGGCGGACGGGUGAGUAAUGUCUGGGAAACUGCCUGAUGGUGGGGGAUAACUACUGGAAACGGUAGCUAAUACCGCAUGACCUCGCAAGAGCAAAGUGGGGGACCUUCGGGCCUCACGCCAUCGGAUGUGCCCAGAUGGGAUUAGCUAGUAGGUGGGGUAAUGGCUCACCUAGGCGACGAUCCCUAGCUGGUCUGAGAGGAUGACCAGCCACACUGGAACUGAGACACGGUCCAGACUCCUACGGGAGGCAGCAGUGGGGAAUAUUGCACAAUGGGCGCAAGCCUGAUGCAGCCAUGCCGCGUGUGUGAAGAAGGCCUUAGGGUUGUAAAGCACUUUCAGCGAGGAGGAAGGCGCUGUAGUUAAUAGCUGCAGCGAUUGACGUUACUCGCAGAAGAAGCACCGGCUAACUCCGUGCCAGCAGCCGCGGUAAUACGGAGGGUGCAAGCGUUAAUCGGAAUUACUGGGCGUAAAGCGCACGCAGGCGGUUUGUUAAGUCAGAUGUGAAAUCCCCGAGCUUAACUUGGGAACUGCAUUUGAAACUGGCAAGCUAGGGGUCUUGUAGAGGGGGG
rnacentral:rRNA from 1 species